GGAUCAGACUAUAUAAUAUAAAGCAUUAAGCCAAAAAAUAUUUUCCAAGUCCCAGAAAUUAAUUACUACUAUAUUGAAAUGCGUAGAAUUGGCUGAAACAUUUGAGCAAUAUGCACUGUAUAUCUUUGAUUUGGGUGAAUUGCAUUUUAAGCUAGCAUGAAAUUAAUUGACAGCUUGUGUAGCAGAAUACAACUGAGCUUGAAGAAACCGUUGAAUAAGGACCCAAGUUCGAGCAUUGGAAUAGAUUUUGAGGCAACAAGCAUUGAUAAUUUUAGAGGUCCAGUUUCAAUGGAGAAGCCGCCAUUUUUUCCGGAGUCUAGGAACCCAGUAGAGGAAGGCCUGCAAUCUGCAGUUCCCGAUGAUUUAUUGUCUGACGGUUGUUCUUCUAGUUCAACUCAGGUGAAGAAAAUGAAAGCAAGCCAGAAACUAAGAGAUCUUCAAUGGGGAUAUCAAGUGAUCAACUCUUCAAGUCUAGACCUGCAUAGUAUCUCCUUCUAUCUUUCUCAGCCAACAACAGGUUGUCAUCAAGAAACGGAAAAUUCCAUUAAAUUAAACAUAUCAAAGGAGAGUCUUUCCCAUUUCUCUGACCUCCUUGUGCUCUUGAAAACAUCAGAAUGUACUCAAGCUUCCUUGAGAGACUUGGAGUUCCACCAGGUUGAAUGGGAGUUGCAGCAAGUGAGAAAUCUCAGAGUUUUGCUUGAAAAUAGUUCCAGCAUUAAGCAAUUAGUCUUUAAGAGAAACAGGUUUACUGCACAAUGCUUAUCUGAGCUUUCAGAAGUUCUAAAGAAGAAUGGAGUGAUCAAGGAACUAAUGCUGUCAGAAUCAAAUAUUGGUCCCAUUGGAGCUUCUCUUCUUGCUUCAGCACUUAAGGUGAACGGAAGCUUAGAAGAGUUGCAGAUAUGGGAAGACUCUAUUGGCUCAAAGGGUGCAGAGGAGCUUUCCAAAAUGAUCGAAGUUAACUCAACUUUGAAGCUACUCACCAUUUUCGAUUCCAAGUCUAUUACUGCCACACCUUUGAUUUCAGCAGUUCUUGCGAGGAACAGGUCAAUGGAAGUGCACAUAUGGAAUGGAGAGAACAAGGAGAAAACUUCUAAGGUGGUUGAAUUUGUACCUGAAAACAGCACCCUUCGGAUAUAUCGUCUUAAUGUCUCGGGUGCUUGUAGAGUUGCUUGUGCUUUAGGGAUGAAUUCAACUGUGAAGUCACUCGAUCUGACAGGAGUUCGGUUGAAGUCCCGUUGGGCAAAGGAAUUCCGAUGGGUUUUGGAACAGAACGGGACCCUCAAAGAGGUAAAUUUGUCAAACACUUGCUUGAAAGACAAAGGAGUUGUUUAUGUUGCAGCUGGGCUUUUCAAGAACCACAGCUUGCAGAAGUUGUAUCUUAAAGGAAAUUGGUUUGGAGGUGUUGGUGUAGAACAUUUGCUUUGCCCUUUAAGCCGAUUUUCUGCGCUGCAACAUCAAGCAAAUGUUAAUCUCAAAUCACUUACUUUUGGAGGAAAAAGAAAUAAAAUUGGUAGGGAUGGGCUUGCAGCUAUCUUGCAGAUGUUGACAAGUAACGAAAGCCUUACCAGCUUCGGAAUAUAUAAUGAUGGGAGUUUAAAACCGGAUGAUAUAGUCAGAAUCUUUAGGAGUUUGGAGAAGAAUGCUACACUAAGAAGUAUAUCUUUACAAGGUUGUAAAGGGGUGGAUGGUGAAGCAGUCCUGCAAACUAUCAUGGAUAUUUUACAGGUAAAUCCUUGGAUUGAAGACAUUGAUCUUUCAAGAACUCCAUUACAGAAAGCAGGGAAAACAGAAGCGAUAUAUCAGAGAUUGGGUCAGAACGACAAGGCCGAAGCCGAACCAGAGAUUGAUUUGCUCAAAGACAUGCCAAUGACAGUGCCAAAGAGCUGUAGGGUCUUCCUCUGCGGGCAAGAAUAUGCUGGAAAAACUACACUAUGCAAUUCUAUACAUCAGCACUUUUCUUCUCCAAAAUUGCCCUAUAUUGAUCAAGUGAGAACUCUUGUAAACCCGAUUGAGCAAGCUGUUAGACCUAUAGGCAUGAAGAUAAAAACUUUCAAAGAUGAAGACACAAAGAUCUCAAUUUGGAAUCUCGCAGGGCAGCAAGAAUUUUAUGCACUCCAUGAUCUUAUGUUUCCAGGACAUGGAAGCGCCUCCCUCUUCCUGAUCGUCUCCAGUUUGUUCAGGAAACCAAAUAACCGGGAACAGAAGUCCUCUGAUGAAGUUGAAGAAGAUCUGCAGUACUGGUUGAGGUUCAUUGUUUCCAAUUCAAGAAGAGCUCUUCAGCAGUGCAUGCUGCCAAAUGUGACCGUGGUGCUCACACACUACGACAAAAUCAAUCAACAGUCACAGAACCUACAGCUUAUUGUAGACUCAAUCCAAAGGCUACGAGACAAAUUUCAAGGCUUUGUUGAAUUCUACCCGACUGUAUUUACAGUUGAUGCAAGAUCUUCUGCAUCAGUAAGUAAAGUUGCCCAUCACCUCCAAAAGACAAGCAAGACGGUUCUUCAAAGGGUUCCUAGAGUGUACGAGCUUUGCAAUGACCUCAUGCAAAUUCUGUCAGACUGGAGAGUGGAAAACCAUAAUAGGCCAGCAAUAAAGUGGAAGGAGUUUGGUGAUCUGUGCCAAGUAAAAUUUCCAUUGCUCAGGGUUCGUUCUAGACUGGAUAAUAAAGAGAAGCUAGAAAUGAGGAGAAGGGCUGUUGCUACGUGCCUUCAUCACAUUGGCGAGGUGAUUUAUUUUGACGAACUUGGUUUCCUAAUCCUAGAUUGUGAAUGGUUUUGUGGUGAAGUACUUGGUCAGCUUUUGAGAUUAGAUGUCAAAAAGCAGACUUCAGCUGGAGAUGGAUUCAUAAGUAGAAAAGAGCUAGAAAAAGUUCUUAGAAGUAGUCUUGAUAGCCAGAUUCCAGGGAUGGGCUCAAAAGUUUUCGAGAACUUGGAUGCAAGUGAUCUUGUGAGAAUGAUGCUGAAACUUGAAUUAUGCUAUGAACAAGAUCCUUCAGAUACCAAUUCUCUAAUGUUGAUACCCAGCUUUCUUGAAGAAGGUAAGGGGAAACUGCCAAAGUGGCAGAUAAACUCAAGUGAAUGCAUUUAUGCAGGAAGGCACCUCCAGUGUGAUGACUCCAGUCACAUGUUUCUAACACCGGGCUUCUUUCCCCGCUUACAGGUACAUUUGCAUAACAAAGUAAUGGGGUUGAGGAAUCAAUAUGGAGCAACAUACAGCCUCGAAAAAUACGUUAUUUCAAUGAGCAUCAAUGGCAUCUAUGUCCGCGUAGAACUUGGGGGUCAAUUAGGCUACUAUGUUGAUUUGCUUGCCUGUUCCACAAAACACCUGACAGAAACUCUAAGGCUAUUCCAGCAGCUUAUAAUACCAGCAAUUCAGAGCCUUUGCCAUGGGGUCACACUGACUGAAAACAUUAUUCGACCAGAAUGUGUAAGAAAUCUAAUACCACCAAGGUACAGGAGAAACCAGUUACUGCCUCUCCAGGUAUUAAAGCAGGCAUUGCUCUCAGUGUCUGCAGACAAUAUGUAUGACUAUCAGCACACUUGGGAUUUGGUAGCAGAUUCUGGAAAGACUAUUGUUGGAGCUGGUUUUGACUAUGCUCGGGACCUUUUAUCCGAUGAUGAUUUUCGGGAAGUCCUCCAACGCAGGUACCAUGAUCUACAUAACCUUGCUGGGGAGCUUCAAAUUCCUUUAGAUAACAGUCAGGAUGGACAGAAUCAUGCUUCUACUACCAGUGAAGAAACUGAAGGAAAAAUUGAACCAACGUUUACUGGAAUAGCCAAGGGUGUUGAAGAAGUCUUGCAGAGACUUACAAUUAUACAGCAAGAACUUAGGGAUAUAAAGCAAGAAAUACAAGGCCUCAGAUACUACGAAUACAGGCUUCUGAUGGAGCUAAACCGCAAAGUGAACUAUCUUGUGAACUACAAUGUCCAAGUUGAAGAAAGAAAAGUGCCAAACAUGUUCUACUUUGUAAGAACGGAGAACUACUCAAGGAGAUUGAUCACCACCAUGAUUUCAGGAAUUAAUGCUCUCCGGCUGCACAUGUUAUGCGAGUAUCGGGGAGAAAUGCAUGUGGUUGAAGAUCAGAUAGGUUGUGAAGUGAUGCAGGUUGAUAACAGUGCAGUAAAAUGCCUGGCUCCAUACAUGACGAAAUUCAUGAAAUUGGUGACAUUUGCUCUCAAGAUUGGAGCUCAUUUAGCAGCAGGGAUGGGAGAAAUGAUACCAGAUUUGAGUAGAGAAGUUUCACAUCUACUCGCAUCUCCCGCUGCAUAUAGUGCUGCAGGGGUUGCUGCUGCUGGUGUUGUCGGGGUUGCAGCAGCUGGCCGUGUAGAGAGAAAUAGGGGAUCAAGGGACAUCCAACAAGAUCUUAAAGCAGCACAACAAUGGGUUGUUGAUUUCUUGAGGGAUCAAAGGUGCUCUGGUGGAAGAGAUAUUGCUGAGAAGUUUGGAUUAUGGAGAGUUAGAUACCGAGACAGUGGCCAAAUUGCAUGGAUCUGUAGGAGGCAUAUAUACGCAAGAGCAAGUGAGAUAAUUGAAGUCCCACUUUGAAGUUUAGCUUUAGCCAUAGAGUUCAAAUAAGAGAAAAACAGAGGCAAAGGUUGAGAGAUGAAGAAGAUGGAGAGUGCACGUAGACUGGCCGCUGUGGUAGUUCAACAGUUGGCACAGGGAUCAAUUUGUUGGAGAUAUGUCAUAAAUAUGAGUUACUAUGUGCUUGUAUAACCAUCAGCCACAACUAUUGCUAUGGGACUUUGAGAUGGAAUAGUUGUUGUACGAUCAAUCCUGAAUCUUAGGUGUGAUAUUCUUGAAUCCCCUUUACAGAAAAUCCUGGCUCCGCAAACACUUUGCAUGUGGAUGCCUGAAGGUGACAUUCUUUAACGACCUCUUGGUCUAGGAUAUGCUUCUCAGGAGCAUGGCUUUAACAAGAAGUUAUGAAAGAUUCACCUCUUGGUCUAGGAUAUGCUUCUCAGGAGCAUGGCCUUAACAAGAAGUUAUGAAAGAUUCUUUCUUUGGGGGAUGGGGUUGUUUUUGUUUCUGUCCUGUACUGUUUUAUGGUUAUUGGAUAUCAUCUUCGUGAUGUUCCCACCUUUUAUCUCAGCUGUAGAGAGAAAAUUACGGGUUGUUGUGAAUGGCUCAUUAGUAACAACAGACAAUUAAGGUGUAGUAUUUGUGAGUGAGUUCACAUAAGAUAGCAAGAGAAGUACAAGAACUGCAAUUGAAUUGACAUUAUUUGGUUCGGAUUA